rnacentral:tRNA from 1 species
CGGGGCGUAGUUCAGAUGGUUAGAACGUUGGGCUGGGGGUCCAAAGGUCGCAGGUUCGAGUCCUGUCGCCCCGA